UACGUAGGGUGCAAGCGUUGUCCGGAAUCACUGGGUGUAAAGGGUCCGCAGGUCGGGCGAGUAAGUCGGUGGUGAAAUCCCUCCGCUCAACGGAGGAACCGCCUCCGAUACUGCUCGUCUUGAGUUCGAGAGAGGAUGAUGGAAUUCAUGGUGUAGCGGUGAAAUGCGUAGAGAUCAUGAAGAACACCAGUAGCGAAGGCGGUCAUCUGGCUCGAUACUGACGCUCAGGGCGAAAGCGUGGGGAGC
rnacentral:rRNA from 1 species